rnacentral:rRNA from 1 species
CUGCAACUCGCCUGCAUGAAGUUGGAAUUGCUAGUAAUCGCGAAUCAGAAUGUCGCGGUGAAUACGUUCCCGGGCCUUGUACACACCGCCCGUCACACCAUGAGAGCCGAUAACACCCGAAGCCUGUGAGCUAACCGUAAGGGGGCAGCAGUCGAAGGUGGGGUUGGUGAUUGGGGUGAAGUCGUAACAAGGUACC